AUAUAAUGAAUGAUGAUGAUGACUCACUCAUUCAUUCGCCAAACAAAAACACAAAAAUCCAAACCAGAAAAUUAACUAAAAAAAACAAUUCCCAAUAAGAAACAACAACAAAAAAAAAAAGGCAAAGAAAAAAUCGUGUGAAUGGUCAAAUUGGAAGAAUCGGACAGACACGAGGCAAAGUAGAAGCCUUCUCAAGAAGGCUUUCUUUGUUUUAAACAAAUUAUAUUCUACCUGGCAGGCAGAAGUCUCAUAGUCUCAAGUCUCAACAUAAACAAAGGAGAAUCUUCGAAUGCGUGCGAAUUUUCGAGAAUCAAAUUAGAAAGAAAACCGCUCAUUCAAAUGCACCCACAUUGACAACGAGGUGGAGGCGAGUAAAGGCAGGGGAAAGGGUGGAUGAACAAAGAGGCAAAUCGAACACAAGACUACACCAACCCAACCUAAUCAAGCUUUCUCCUAAAACUUUUUGUUACAUUUUUUUUUCCCGAUAAUUGGCCACGUAAAAGACCGCACUUUGAAUUCACUUUAAAAAAUGACACAUCGAUGGCAAAUAUGGUGGUGGUGAAGGGGAACAGCUGUCUCUAUCUAUACUCUUUUUGCUCGUGGUGGAAAGAUGACAGCUGGUUUUCUUGCGCAGCAGCUUGUGGUAGAGUUGGAAGUUUAGAGAAUUUUGUUUUAAUUUGGGUGGGUUUACACUUUUGGAUUAUAGAUGAAGGGAAAAGUGAUUUUUUAAUACAAACAUUUUUGGAUGGAAGAUUUUUGGUAAA